rnacentral:tRNA from 1 species
GGGUAUGUAGCUCAGUGGUAGAGUGGCUCACUGCAGAUCAGCAUGUCGUCGGCUCAAAUCCGGGCGCACCCU